rnacentral:tRNA from 4 species
CGGGAAGAAGGGGAUGCGGUGCCCCGCCCGCCUUGGGAGCGGGAGAGACGCGGUUCGAGUCCGUGCUUCCCGA